GCGCAGCGGGAGCAGAGCGGCCUCCAUGGGGGAGCUGCAUUGGGAGCAGCAGUCCCUGUCCCGGCGAGUGCACAGAGCCCUGCUGGGGCCGGGGAGCAGGGGACGGACAGUCCCGCCGGAGGGAGCCCGAACACCCCAGGAGCUGCUGAUGAGGGCGAGAGGAGCCACAGUCCCUGUGAGGAGCCCGCAGUCCCAGACACUGCUGUUGUGCCCCCGGUACAGCCCCAACUUGGGAAAGAAAGCUGCCUCUAAGCUUUUUCUGCAGCUCCUUCCUGCAACACUGACACAAGUUGCUGUAGAUUUGUGCUGAUUGUAAUGUUCACUCCUUUAUUUCGCUCCACGAGUACCACAGUUGUCUGUCACAUUUUAUCAGAGCAGCUUCUCCGUGUGCAGCAGACACCCAGAGCAAGCCUGAACCAGUCAGCCCAGGGAGCAUGACAAGAGGACAAUCACAAGGACAUUCCACUCCUUGUUUUUCCCCAAACAUAGGGAAAUCCUGGACCAGCUGAGCCUCCUCCCCCAGCAUUGCUGCUGCAGGCUGAGGUCGGCUGUGCUGUGGAUGCUCACAGGACAGGAGGUGUCUGCACCCAGUGCCCGCAGUGGUGGCUGUGUCUGUGUCCUGACUGCUCUUCCCUGUGUGUCAUUUCCUAUUCUGAACUGCAGGUUCUUCACUGUGAGCGGGGGCUGUGUCCCUACCGCAGCCAUGGGCACUCGCUGAUGCCCUGAUUCCCAGAGAGCAGCUAGGGGUGCUCGGCAGAGUCACGGGAUGGGGUGUUUGCUUGGGGGGUGCUGUGAGGGGGGGGGGUCUCUGUCCUUGGGGUCCAGGCUUGCUGCUGGCCAUGCUUCAGGGUGUUCUUGGCACUUGGCAAUGUUAAAGAUCAUUGGACCAAAGCAGCUGUAAUGGGUUUGUGAAUCAAUAAAGCCUUUUGCUUCUG